AUGUCCCCCCACUAUAGUAGUGGGGGACAUAUUGUUUUUGCCCUGUCUGUCUGUUGGUCUGUUUGCGCCAACUUUAAUAUUUUGCAAAAACUUUUGCUAUAUUGAAGAUAGCAACUUCAUAUUUGGCAUGCAUGUGUAUCUCACGAAGCUGCACAUUUUGAGUGGUGAAAGGUCAAGGUCAUCCUUCAAGGUCAGAGGUCAAAUAUAUGUGGCCCAAAUCGCUUAUUUUAUGAAUACUUUUGCAAUAUUGAAGAUAGCAACUUGAUAUUUGGCAUGCAUGUGUAUCUCAUGGAGCUGCACAUUUUGAGUGGUGAAAGGUCAAGGUCAUCCUUCAAGGUCAGAGGUCAAAUAUAGGUGGCCAAAAUCGCUCAUUUUAUGAAUACUUUUGCAAUAUUGAAGAUAGCAACUUGAUAUUUGGCAUGCAUGUGUAUCUCAUGCAGCUGCACAUUUUGAGUGGUGAAAGGUCAAGGUCAAGGUCAUCCUUCAAGGUCAGAGGUCAAAUAUAUGUGGCCCAAAUCGCUUAUUUUAUGAAUACUUUUGCAAUAUUGAAGAUAGCAACUUGAUAUUUGGCAUGCAUGUGUAUCUCAUGGAGCUGCACAUUUUGAGUGGUGAAAGGUCAAGGUCAUCCUUCAAGGUCAAGUAUAUGGGUCAAAAUUGCGCAUGUUAUGUCACAUCUGCAAUAUUGAAGCUAGCAAUUUUAUAUUUGAAAUGCGUGUGUAUCUCAAGGAGCUGCGCAUUUUGAGUGGUGAAGGGUCAAGGUCAUCCUACA